rnacentral:lncRNA from 1 species
UUUAUUCUACACAUGGAAGCUUUACUAUAGUUAUAAAAUAUAAAUGUGAUCAUGUAAUUUCCCUGCUUAAAACACUGUGGUGUUACUCCAAUGUCAUCUAGAUAAAUCCACACCUGUUAUCAUACUUUGGACUUCUUAGCAUGGUUCAGGAGGUUUAUUUCAAGUAUCAACCUCCCCUACACACAUACACAUACGCACACCACCUGACGUUCCUCACAGUGAGUGUCUAUCAUGGCUGUAAACCUGUUCCUGCCCAAGGAAGUGGAUCUCUGUAACCCUUCUCAUGCUUCCUAUUGCCCAGGACACUGGACCUGCAAUGCCUCCUAUGAGACUACAUACAGUGGGCGUGUUAUGGAUGGCUGAAGCACAGAACAGUACUGUUGUAACAAAAAACAGCCUCUUCUGUAAGGGGCAAAUUGCCGAGAGUGCAGCUUUUGGUUUGAGUAAAACAGAAAAGGAGAAAAUUAACCCACAUGUGCCAAUAAAAAAGAACAUCAUUUAAAUAAAAGACCCGUAUUAACCAUUUAAAA